CGAACGCUGGCGGCAGGCUUACCACAUGCACGUCGAACGGAUCCUUCGGGAUUAGUGGCAGACGGGUGAGUAACGCGUGGGAACGUACCCUUUGCUACGGAAUAACUCAGGGAAACUUGAGCUAAUACCGUAUGUGCCCUACGGGGGAAAGAUUUAUCGGCAAAGGAUCGGCCCGCGUUGGAUUAGCUAGUUGGUGGGGUAAUGGCCUACCAAGGCGACGAUCCAUAGCUGGUCUGAGAGGAUGAUCAGCCACACUGGGACUGAGACACGGCCCAGACUCCUACGGGAGGCAGCAGUGGGGAAUAUUGGACAAUGGGCGCAAGCCUGAUCCAGCCAUGCCGCGUGAGUGAUGAAGGUCUUAGGAUUGUAAAGCUCUUUCACCGGUGAAGAUAAUGACGGUAGCCGGAGAAGAAGCCCCGGCUAACUUCGUG
rnacentral:rRNA from 1 species